rnacentral:rRNA from 1 species
UAUGCUUGUCUCAAAGAUUAAGCCAUGCAUGUCUAAGUAUAAACAACUUUAUACUGUAAAACUGCGAACGGCUCAUUAUAUCAGCAAUUAUUUAUUUGAUGGUUUCUUACUACAUGGAUAACCGUAGUAAUUCUAGAGCUAAUACAUGCAUAAAAUCACCGACUCUUGCGGGGAGUGACNGUAUUUAUUAGAUUAAAAACCAAUGCNGGCCUUUGGUCGGACUUGUGUUGAUUCAUAGUAACCUUUCGGAUCGCAGGGCUUCACGCCGGCGACAGUUCAUUCAAAUUUCUGCCCUAUCAGCUUUCGACGGUAGUGUAGUGGACUACCGUGGCAUUUACGGGUGACGGAGAAUUAGGGUUCGAUUCCGGAGAGGGAGCCUGAGAAACGGCUACCACAUCCAAGGAGGGCAGCAGGCGCGCAAAUUACCCAAUCCUGACACAGGGAGGUAGUGACAAUAAAUAACAAUACCGUACGUUCUCACGUCCGGU